UGAGUCUGGAUUAUUUAGGGAAGAGCCUCUGGGGGAAGGGUAGCCCAGCCCUUGGGCUGGAGUUCAGGGAAGUGGGUGGGGAUAUGCCAGCCAUGCCCUGUAACAGGUAGCGACCGAGAGAACCUGGAGGUUCACUCAUGUUAAGCAGGCACUUUGGUGGCUCGUCCUGUGACUGGAACUUAACAGUCAACACUUCCUCAAGAAUCAGGAAGAAGAACGCGCCAUUCUGCAAAGCUCCUUGUGAUGCAGGCUCCAUCUUCAAAGACACAGGCUGCUCCACUCAGCAAGCAGACCAUAUCCAGAUACAGCUCUGCCCUAGGAUUUCUGAUUCCUCAAGAGAAACAUGGAGACUCUAUUUGCAGGGCAAACCUGUAGUUUUCAGUGUGACCACUGUUCCGUAGUCUGCCUCUUGGCACCUCUGGUGUGGGCAGACAUCUCAGUGAUGGAGUUCAGAGAUGUGUCUAGAAAUCUAGAGAGGGCAUUCACUCAUCCGUGCUAGCCCUCCAUGCCUUGAGUCCUGCUAGAGAACGCACAGUAUUGAUGAGCAACCUGUAUAUGGCCUCCAUGUUAUUCCCAGCUGCCAUCCAAGUCUGGGCUCACCUUUGGUGACUCUCCUGACAGAGAAGUGAAAUGAGAGCCCUGUUUGCCCUUCCCCAACAGUCUUCACUGCAUUGGCUAGAGAAACCGGCUAGCCAUUCUGAUCCUGCCUUGUCUCCCUCCUUUAUAAGACAACAGAACUAGCCAGACCGUCAGGGUGAGCACUAAGUGUCAAAGACACACUUUGAGCCAGCUUUCAGCAGCAGCUUGACACGGUGUUCACCCACCUCAUUUUUGAACAGAGUUCUGAAACUUCUGAGCAGGUGUGUUACUCUAUUUGGAUUCUAUUUUGUUUUCCAAGUAAAAAGAGAGUCAGCCAGUUCAUUUGCAUGAACCUUAGCGAGACUCUCUUCCAAUAGAGCCAGGCAAGGAUGCACGUUUAAGUGGUUGUCAUGGAAACCAGAGAGCAUAGCUCCUGUCCAAGGUCUGAAGGAAGGAUGAUGAGAAGUUUAAGUGAUUUCCAUGGAAACUGAGAACAGAUUCGGUGCUGGUUCAGAUCCCCAGCGCCUUAGCUAGCAGGCAAGUCUUCAGGGAUGAUGAUGUUAGAAGAUCUGAGAGUCUGAUUCUUAGCAACAGGCCAACCCAGGUGCCACUUCCAAGCCAGAUUCACAUUAGCCCGUGGGGCCAGCAGGCAGGUGACCAUAUUCCCCUGGAGCUUAGCCCUUGCGUCCUCUGACUCAAGAUAUAUUUUGAGGCUUCUCUUACUUACCCAGUGUUUUCCCUUGCUCUCCACUACUUUCCUCACCAGAGUGGGAACCCCACAGAGCUGGGGUCACAAAAUGGAACCCUGGUCCCAUUUGUAGGAGACAAGACAUUUUUAAGCAUCCAGCCCUGAUUUCCCUGCAGCCUUAACCAAGAUGUUUCCCCUUGAAUAUUCAUUAAUGACAAAAAUGAAGUUAGAUGUUCCUGCCUUAAAUAGACAGCAGCACCGGAAGUGCUUCUAAUAGCCUGACGGUGGACGGCGGUGCUCAGCAGGCAGACAGACGCUUUCUGUUACCUUUCACAAGCAGCCUCGUGGUGUGAGACUCAGGAGCCUAACUAUCAAUUAAACAACGAAGGAGUCCGUUUUGAGCGGCGUUGCCGAGGAGUCCUUCUCAGCAUGUAGAAUGUCUAUCGCGGCAGGGAAGCCCAAAAGGUCCAGGACUUCAGGAGAAAGGCAUCAACAUCAGCACUUGGCAUUUUGGUGUGGACCCUGCCCCUCCACCCCACCCUCCACCCCCCAACCCCCACCCAGCCCUCUGCAGGGCACUUCCUGUACAGCCUGGUUUGUGCAGCGGGAUUGUUACACUCUAGGAGAAGUCUGAUUCCGUUUACACUAACUGAAGACACCUGGCGAGAAAGGCACGUGCAUCGUAUGGUUUUUGUCUUUUGUUUUCUUUAGUACAUGAAAUGGGCCACCAGUGACAACUUCAAUGGAAAACGUGUAGAAUGGUGACAGCCUGAAGUGGGCACCAUCUGAAAGGUCAUCUAGGGUGAUGAAGAGGAUUCCGUCCGUCCUGGGAUUGGUGUUUUGUUUUCUUAAUCUGUCUUUGAUGUUUCUCUGGUCUUUAUGUUGUAGAAAAACGAACUGUUUUCUUGACCCAAGUUUUCUCUCCCCUUUACUUUUUCUUUUUCCUUUCAAAGUUAAGUUUAAUGGUUUCCUGAACUCUUUUAUUGAAUGCUCAAUAAUAUUUCUUCAGAAAAUUUUGUUUGUUGGUUUGUUGGUUAGAGUGUAUAUGUGUAGAAGUUUGGUCUGGUUCUUGAUCCCAGCCCUUUGCUCCAAGAAAUAAAACUCAGACUCAAAAAAUAUAUUUAGAAAUCCCUUGGCCAUACAGCUAGGCUCUUCUCUGACUAGAUCAUGACUUAAAUUAGCCCAUUUUCUUCUCCUCUGCAUUCUGCCAUGUGUUUGGUUACCUGUGCUCAGGUAACAUGUGUCUGUCUCAUCACGUCUUUCUGUGACAAUCUCUCUUUUAUUCUCUCACCGUUACCCAGAAUCCUCUCUCUUCCUGCCAGUGUCCCACCUCCUGUUUCCUGCUUCAACUCAUUGGCCAUCAGCUUUUUUAUUGACGGGUGCUUCUUAUAAGAGAUUUUUAUUUUUAAUUUAAAUCAGCUGAGCUAUUUUGGUACCAUUUCUUACCAUCUAUAGUGGUUUGGAUAGGUUUGGCCCCCAUAGACUGUUUGAAUGCUUAGCCCACAGGGAGUGAGACUAUUAGGAGGCGUGGCCUUGUUAAAAUAGAAUAGGCGUGGCCUUGUAGGAGGAAAUGUGUUAUCGUGUAGACCGGCUUUUGAGGGCUCCUAGUGUUCUGCCCGUUGUGGAAGAGACCGGCUCUCCUGGCUGUCUCCAGGUCAAGAUGUAGAACUCUCAGCUCCUUCUCCAGCACCAUGUCUGCCUGUGUGCCAUGUCCUGCUCACUGCCGUGAUGAUAAUGGACUGAACCUCUGAACCUGUAAGCCAGACCCAAUUAAAUGCUGUCCUUAUAAGAGUUGCCUUGGUCAUGGUGUCUGUUCACAGUAGUAAAACCCUAAGACACCAUUCCUUUCCCGCAUAAGCUUCUUAGUUUAGAAUCUUAUCCAUCUGGCUUCAGCCUGCUGUAGUCAGGGAGAACAGCCACGGUAUAAGACUUCCUGCCCACCUUGUGUCUACCUUCAGUCCUGAUGUCCCUGCACACCACUCUGGGUUGUGGACUUUCUUAGUAUAAAAGGCAGUGUUUGCUUUCUUACAUAUCUGAGAAACAAGGGGUUAGGUUCUCGGGGCCAGUAGAAAGCUCAGGGACUUAAUCCUACAACUACAACCCCAUUAUCAUCCUAAACCAUUCGGGUCGAGUAAGAUGAAUUUCUUUCAGUCCCAAAGAGACCUACAAUCUUCAGACCCCAGGAGACUGGCCAAGGGCCGAUUCCCACCAAGAGGUUCAUUUCACUAAACCAGCUAGUUAUUCUUAAAGCAGUCUAUGGAUUUUAUGUGAUGUCUGUUCCCAGCUAGGUUUGCAAAGCCGCCUCAGGAGACGUGGUGGCUUCCUAAGCAGUCUAGACUAUGCUUGCCCUUGGCUCAGGCGGUGAACCUGGCCAGAGAGAAGGCAGCCUGCGAGCUCGAGCAGGCGUCCUGUCUAUUUUUACCUGAGAGAUGAAGUCUCCGUGCGCCUUCCAGCGGACAUACUCCGCAUUUGGAGAGGCCAUGACGCUGUGAAGGGCGAUGCUAGGCAUGUCCUCGACUUCCGGCAUCUUCUUCCAUGUUCUGAGGAGAAGGAUAUACGAGUCUUGGAAAGGUAGAGCUCCCUGCCCUUUUACACCCUGGCUUCAGCCAGGAGCCCUGCCCCUGGGGAACUUUCGGUCAGAGACGCCUCCUGCCUUCCUCUCAUCCUUGUCCGUUCUCCGAGCCCCCAAUGCUCUGUCAGUGGGGGUCUCUCUGAAUGUGCACACCUCUUUUCUAGAGUGCAGUGAGAACAAAAAAAAAAAACCCACGAAGCGUUUAACUGCCACAAGUAAUAUACCUCCCGCCCCCUGCUUUUUAAAAAUGAGACAUUUGUAUAACCCAAAAGGCAAAUGUGCUUCGUUUAGAGACCUCUGAGUCUCUGUAGGGAGCAAGGGAAAAAAAAAAAAAACCCAAGUUAAAACAAACGAAAAAUCAAAAUCGAGACAAAACGACACCAAAAAUAAAGAACUCUACUGGGUGAGCAGUGUUAUUGUCCCCUUUCCCAGAGGAGGAAACAGAGGCACAAAAGAUAAAAGACUUCCCAAUGCGAACACCUAGGAGCAUCGGAAUUCCAUCAUGGGUAACCUGGAUUUCAAGGGCAAAAUGUUCUGAAUGGAUUGACCUCCAAUUCACAAUUGCGUGAUGAUGGUCUCACAUUCAAUAAAUCUCAGAACUGUGAUUCAGAUCUUCCAGUAAGUGUCCCCAAAAUGGAGAUCACCGAGACUGAGGUACCUAUACAUUCCCACGAGAUGCCCUGGCCACAGGUCCAAGGUUAAAGCAUAAGCAUGGGGGAUGGGCCUGAUUCCAGGGCUUGGUCCUCCAUUCUGGAGUGCAUUCGAUUAAAUGUCUUUAAGAGAGAUAACUUUUCAGUGGGCUAAAACAUGUGAACUUAAUACUUGAAAGGUGGCUGUGGCGGUUUGAAUAGGAGUAGCUCCCAUAGUUUCUUGUGUUUGAAUGUUUGACAGAAGGGAGUGACACUAUUUGGAGGCGUGGCCAUGCUAGAGGAGGCGUGGCCAUGCUAGAGGAGGUGUGGCCAUGCUAGAGGAGGUGUGGCCAUGCUAGAGGAGGUGUGGCCAUGCUAGAGGAAGUGUGUCACUGUAGAGGUGGAGCUUUGAGGUUUCUUAUAGAUACUCAAGUCUGUCCAGUGUGACAGCCUCCUCCUGCUGCCUGUGGUUCAAAAUGCAGAACUUUCUGCUCUCCCAGCACCAUGUCUACCUGCCAUGCUUCCCGCCAUGAUGAUAAUGGACUGAACCUCUGAAAUUGUAAGCCAGCUUCAGUUAAAUGUUUCCCUUUAUGAGGGUUGCCAUGAUCAUGGUGUCUCUUCACAGCAAUGAAACCCUAACUAAGACAGUAGUCAAAACUUUUAAUAAAUUAGUCAAA